UCCUGGGUCUUACUUUAUAUUCGGUCCAGCAAGAGCUGAAUCAGAAACUGAAGAACUGUAAAGGAUCAGAGAUACUGACCUACAUUCAAGCUAAUGAUACCAAGAUUUCCUCUAGCUUUUGAAGAAAAACGAAAAGAACAAGAAGAAAAAGAACAACAAAUCAGAGAACAAAUACUUCAACAAAGAAAAGAGAAGUUUGAAGAAGUCACUGAAAAAUUCCAGCGUGCUCAUAUUCCUCUUUCACAACGGAGGAGAGCAGUUUUUCAAAAACGAGUUCCUCUGUUGGAAGAAGCCCUCAAGCAAAUUCAAGAAUCCAAUUUAAAAUCAGAAGUAAACCUCCUCCCUUCCUACAGACCAACAAUAAAUUGGAGAGCUAUAAAUAAUGCCUUGCCUUCAUCAUUGUCAAAAAAUGAUCACAAGCAUCAGAAACAUCUCUUAUCCAAAAUCAAUUGUGGUAAAGAAUUGAAGGAAAACAACAGGGCAAACUUGGCUACUAACAAAGAUGCGUUCCAGCUUAAACUGGAAGAAACUCAGAAACUCCUAGAAGAUCAGCAUCUAAGCAGUUUGCAAAUAUUUUGUGAUGAAGUUAAUCAACUAACAAAUUCUGAAACCCUCUCAAGUAUAGACAGCCUUGAGGCUGGGGAACAUGAAGAAAUAUACUUAACACUUGAGGAGCUCUGCACAUCCAGCCAGAAGAGCUCCAUUUCUCCCAAAUCAGUCAAUCUGCAGGCAGCUAAUCUGAGCGGCGGUGGUGAAGACGAACUGUCAUUCUCUAAGACUCAGCGUAUAAACAACUGGCUCGUAAACGUAAAUGACCCAAAGACUGAGACUGUCCCAUCUGUCUCAGAUACUUUAAGCAAAGCGAAUGUGCUGCCUUCUUGUGAAUGUCUGAACGGCGAGGACCAAAGUGCGCCUGCGGAGAGGGUGACAGAGCGUGCUGACCAUUCAGUAGCCUCGGUGUACAGCCGCCCCGCAUCCCGAAGGGAUGGAAAAUGCACAAAGGUCUCCGAAACGAGCGCUGGGAGAGCGGCCGACUCCUGCUCCGGCACAUUCAAAAGGGAGAGACCCUUCGUUACUGAGAGCCCAACGUUUAAAUUCAGCAGAGUGGGGACCGCUGCGGACCGUCUCACACGGGAGCCGGCGACGUUUGCAGACCGCGGUGGCGCUUGUGCAUUAGCAGCAGAGAGCGCGGCCGCUUCGUGUGUGCCGGUGGCGACCCGCACAGCUCUGCCCUGCGGCGGGCUUGCGGCGAGGCCCUCGCCGGAGAGCAGCCGGCGAAGACCGCUGGGCCCGGCGCAGUGUUCGGACAAGUUGGGAGGCUUGCCGGAGGUCAGAGAGGACACGUUACAGGACGUUCCCCGUGAUAAGGCGGACCCGCCCUUGUUUUCAGCCGGCGUCCCGGUUGCCUGGGUCCCUCCCCGCUCUGCCUCGGACAGUGGGACACACGCAAGAGCCCAAACAUCAGCCUGGGGGUGUUCGGUCGGGCCGCACAGGACGGGGAAGCACAGCGCGCACGAGAGGGGCGGCGGGGUCUUCCUCAAGAGCAUCUUGAAAAAAGAAUCUAAGUGCGAGCGCGGCCGUUUUAAGGCGCUGGUGGUCAGCCACAGCGGCAGGUGCGGCGGUCCGAGGGCGGCUCUCCGAGACAGCGCUGAAUUAGCGCAAGAGAAAGCUACGGAAACCGCAAAGACGGUUAAAAAACUGAGGUGGUUUGACGAACCUAGAGACCCCGCCGGCCAGGCGCUGAAGAGCAGGACGGAGCCGUGUCCACAGCGGGGUCCGUCUUUCCGCCCUCAGCCGCGCAGGGGAGCUGCGGGCCGGGGGGCAGCGCGGCCACAGGAGGACGGCGUCUCGGAGACGGCCGCUGCCCCCGGAGCACCUGCAGCAGCCCCAGUGCCUCUCACCUGUUUCGUGCCUUCUGGCUGCGACGCGGCCGAACAAGCCUGGCCGACCUCAGGGACGGGGGAACGGCCACUCCCGCGGCCCCGGGGGGGCUCCAAAGCUGAGACGGCGAGGCCGCGCGGUGCCGGGGCCCGCAGGAGAACGAGAUCGGCCCCCGCGCAGGGCGCGCUGUCGUGGGCGCUUGGAAGGGACGCCGCGCCCCGGCCGCGCUCGGCGGGCAGAGCCCACGGCCCCUGGGCAGCUCAGGGUGCACCGCCUGUGCCUCCGCCCCCGCCCCGCAGCACGAGCUGCAGAAGCCCAUGGGCGUUUGGCUGCCCCGCAACGCCGCAUGGAGACCCGCAGCCGGUGACGGCGCCAGGCUGCCUCCGCGCCAGCCCCGUGCUUCCCCCGGAGCGCGGCGGGCUCAGCGCGUGGGGUCGGGAAGGUGGCGGGCCGCUGGCACACAUGCCUUCGGGGCCCGGGCCUGCGAUGCCUUCACCGCGUGGUUCGCGGCGCCGGACGCGCGCCGAAGCAGCCGGCUCGGGCGGCUCCGGGGCCCGUCCUGCCCGCGGAGACGCCCGCCGCCCGCCGCCCCUCAGGGCCGUCCGGGAGGAGUCCGUUUCCCGACGGAAGGCGCCGAGUGACGCGCGCGGCCGCAGGGAAGCGGAUGCUGGCUCUCCUGUUGUAAGAAGAAAGCAAAUUGUUGAAGAUAAGCAGAGAAGCCUUUUAGAACAGAAAAGAGAAAACCCUGCAUCUGCAGGAAAGAAGUGUGGCGAGUGCACAAGUAAUUUGGAGCAAAGUGCCCAGCCAAGUUCAAGUGAGCCAAAACAUACUACAAGGUGUACUUCUGAUGUUGAAGAAGUUUCAGAUAGUACUUCUCAGUUUUUGAUGGCUGAAAACCUAGUGAAAGCUUCAGUGCCUGAGGAUGAAAUUCUCGCUGUCAUGAACAGCAGGCAGCUACAGAAACCACAUCUGGCUGUAAAUAAGACCCAGCCACUCAACGUCUGUGCACUCCCGGCCGCAGAACAGAAGCUCCUCCAGUCCCUUAGUCACCUCAAUGAGAGGUUCCACUAUGUACAAGAAGCCAUUUGCAAGAAUCCAUCCAUCAGAAAUACCUUACAAAUAAUACCACUUCUGAACAGCCGGCCGAGAGGCAGCCUGUCCCCGGGGGUCGGAUCCAGGCUGCAGAGGAAGUACUGACGGACCGCAGCGGCGAGCAUGACUGUUCUCGCGGCCAUUGACAAUGGCCUGUAAAUAGAGCAUAGAUUUUCGCAUUUGUUAAGGAUUUAAAUACUACAACCAUAAGAUAAAGGUAAAUCAUCACAUGAGUAAUGGAGAUAAAUUGACUAGUUUACAUUUAUGCUACAAGGUUAUUAUGUAUUUUAUUGAUAAUACGUUUUUAGUGAAGGGAAAUGCUUCAUUGUUUUUAGUGAGCCUGCUACUGAAAACACAUUCAUUAUAUUUGAAAAUAAAACAGGGUAUUUUGUUAUUCAAAUUAUGUAUUAGCUAUAGUUGUGAAGCUUUGUUUUUCUGAAAUUCCUAAUAAAUUCUAUUAAAUUUUGGUACAGUGGUGUAAAAAGUUCAUGAUUAAUAAUACCCCAUAUAAACAGUAAAGCCAUCUAAGACUUGGAAGGAUCUCUGUACUUGGGGGUAUUACCAAAGGGUGUUACUUACGAAAACCAAAAGAAACUCCUUGUAUAAUCAUGAAACUCCUUCUAUGAUUUUAGAAGUUUUUUUGUGGAAUUAUGAUAAUCUCAUAUAUCUUUUUACUUCCCCUCACCCAUUUCUACUUCAGGCUCUCAUCUAGACAGUCCGCGAAAGCUGACAGAUGGCAUUUCUAAGUGUGGUAGACUGGCAGAGUAAAAUCUGUCGUAUCAAUCCCAUCUUAGGGGCGCCCAGGGGGCUCAGUCGGCUGAAUGGCUGACUCUUGGUCUCAGCUCAAGUCUUGAUCUCAGGGUCAUGAGUUCAUGCCCCGCAUUGGGCUCCUGUUUUAAAAGUUUUCAGCUCUCCCUUUGGCUGCUAGAGGGACCGUGCGUAUAAGGCUCUCUGUAUCCUGAGUCCUCCCUGUUUGCACUAAUGCCCAGACCCCUUGCAGGCCCCCAGCCUGCUGUCCCAUGCCUCUCUGCCCAACUGCACACUGUCCCCGUAGCUCGGAAUGCCUUCGUCAGCCUCCACUGCCUGAACCACGUUUACUCGUUCUUUUAAAUUCUACUCAGGUCAAACGUCCUCUAAUGUUUCCUAAUAAUUCUCUGCCACCUUUGUAUAAAUUAUGUCCUUUGCAUUCUGAACCACAAUUAUUUCUGUGUAUGUAUCCCUCUUCUAGAUAAAGUGCUCCUAGCAGCUAACGGUUGUCACUGGUGUCUGUCCCAUGAGGAAGUAAAGUGGGGGACACAGCGGCAGACCAAAAUAACGAAGGAAAGGAAAAUAUUCAACUGUGCGAUUUAUCAAGACCCAACUAUGUGCUAGGUGCUGCUCCGUGUAUUAGGGAGACAGUAAAAACAAAAGUAAUUAUUUUCUUCUAUCAUGGACUUACAUUUUAGUCGGGAAUACAGAUUUCCAACAUAAGCAGCCGCCACCGGAAGGUUAGAAGGCACGGUGAACGGAAAGCUGAGCGUGGGCGGGGCGGAGUACCAGGGUAGACGUGAGCCCGCUGGGGUGGACAGAGACGGUGUCUGACGACUGAAGGGAGGGGAGCCAGCCCUGGCAGCCGCAGGGGAACAGAGCGGCCAGAGGGCAGGAAAGUAGGCUGUUCUCUUAGUGAGGACUGGGGAGCUGGCGGGGGUGUUGGGAGGAAAAGAAAGCGAACAGAGGAUUGGAACAGGGCUUCCUGUCACCCGUGGCUGGUGGCAAAAUGCAUUUCCUACUCUGAGAGGUCCAGGGUGGGACCGAGACCAUACCAGGGCUGCUGCUCCCUGGACCCAUGUGGAACCACAAAGGUCUGGAACAUAACCUUGGCCGCAUAUUGAAAUCACAUGAGGAACUUUAAAAAAAUCUUGACGUCUGGGUUACCCCGGGGGGCGAUUUGAGCAUUGAGAUUUUUUAAAGCUCCCCAGACAAAUUAUAAUGAGAAGCCAAGGGUAAGAAACAUGGUCUAGAAGCAAUAAUGCAAACAAGUAAUGGGGUCGGGGAUCGAAUCCAGUCUGGGCGCCCUCUCCGGCCGGCAGACUUGGGGACGACCCAAGGGCAGCGACCAUGCUGCGGACAGUGUCUUUCUGGACCCGCCUCGCCCCCCAUCCACUGCAGAGGUGGCCAUACAUGUGACUGACCGGUACUGGUGGCCAGGAGAGCAGGAAGAGCUCCGUGGGGCUCCGCCAGGAGCGAUUCUGGCUUCCCUCCUCACCAGCAACAGAUGCAGGCUCUUCCCAUUCCCUGCUUCCUGGUUUUGGAGUUCAGGACUGAUCCCGCGGGGGUGUUGCUGCACUCUCAGAGUCUGCCCUGAGUACCGAAAAGCCCACAGAGGAGGGGACAGACUGACACAGGGCACCCAGCUUCUUCGCUCCACAGCAUCUUCUAGCCACAGCCCACUGACCUCAGCAGCUCCCCCCACUGCCCGGCCACCGCAGGCAUCGGCUGAUACCCAUGGGAACUUCGUUACCCAAGCCCCCUCCUCCUCACUGAUGCAGGCUCUGCAGUCUGCACCUCUGUUGUCCCCUCGCAGACCCUCCUUCUCCAGCUCCUCCCAUAGGGAUAAGAUGUCAUUCUUGUAUCCCCUAGUCCCACGAUUCUUAACAGCGGCUGUGUUGUCCUGACUGAUACAGUCUGAUGGAGGAGACACACGUGGGAGAUGAAUGCGAUUCUGAAUUUCGGAAAAAAAGCUUCUGAGUUAGCAAAAUGGAUAUCGCUCUAGAGAAUGAAAAGGAGAGAAGAGCCUCCCAGGUCUAGAUGAGACAGAACCAGGAGACAGGGAGGAAGCAGGGUGCGAAACACCGUCCUGGACUGGACGCACCUGUUUGCCAGCACCGUUCCCAGGAAAGCAAGCGAGCCACCGGACUGCUCCUGAAGUGGUGUCCCAACCUGGGUUUGGAGAGCAGUGAGGUCCGGGCAGGGCUCCGGGGAGAGCCAGCUCUGCGCUCAGGUGCAGGAGACCUGGCGCUGCUCCCUGGGGUAGAGCACACCCUCGUCCCUCCCGGAGCCCCAGUGCCGGGAGCAGCUGCAGUGAUAGAAGUAGACGUGAACUAGAAUUGUCUGUUGAUGAAACCUCUUGCAGUAACUUGUGAGGGCAUUUUAUAAAAAAAUGGUAUUUGGGGUUUUUUUAAUUAUCCAUUUUGGUAUAAUAUAUAGUCCCAAAGUUACCACAGCCCCCCAAAGGGCCCUUGGUGGCAGCAUCAGAGCCAAGGUUAGCUCUCUGUGUGGCAGAGGGAGGCCCUCCUGUGACCCUGGGAUCACACUGUCUUCCAAAUCGAACGGUUGGCACUUUGGGACUACAAAAAAAAAUUUUUUUUUUACAUUAGAAGGUAAUGAAUCAAAGUUAGAAAUUGCAAGAUUUAAGGGAGACAAUUCUUGUGGCCUUUUAAUGACCCUGCUCACUUCUGGUUUGCAGAGCCUGGCCUGGGAGGUGAGGGACCACACCCUGCCACAUAGGGCACGUGCUGUUACUUCAGCCCAACCGACAGCCCAAGAGCCACGUGUUCGUCACGGUUGACAGAGGAGCGCAGAGGCUCAGAGAUGAGCCCGCCCCCCGCCAGCCCGCCCCCCAGGGUCAUGUAGCCGGUCAGUUGCGGCAUCGUGGUGCACACCCAGGUAAAGCUACUGUGAAUGUGCGGUGCAGGUUUGUCCGAGGUGGUCGUUCUGUCUACUUCAGAUGAGUUCCCGGACGUGGAAUUGGCAGAUCCUCAUGAAAGAGAAGAAAAAAAUAAUUACAGAAAAGUGAAAGCUGUAUUUAUUGGAAAUCAACUCAAAGCUACGUGACUGAUGUGUGCAUUCAUGCAACAGAUCGUCCUGAACACCUCUUAAGUCAUCACUGUGCCUGGGGCUUCAGACCAGCAGAGACCCCGUCCAGUCCAGCUGUCGGUACAUGUAGAGCCUUUGAGCUCUUAAGGGCUCAUCCACAAGCAGUUGCAGCAGAGUAUGGUCAGCGGUACAGCAGGAGUAACCCAGAUGGCAUUUCCCUAAUAGAAUCUUUGCUCACGGAACCCUGACUUGUCUGGCUCUAAGAGGACCCAGUGCCAAGGCAGGAUGAAAUCCCCAGGGUGCUGAUAAGGACUGCAGCUGAGCACCAGGCCUCGGAAGCGCUGGUCAGGACCAGUGUGGAAGGGACGGCUGUGAGAAGAUGAAAGGGAGAGGAAACCACUGCGCUCGAGCGCUCUUCCCUUGUACUCUGGCUGAGUAAGAGCUAGCAAGAAUGAAAGAUGGAUGACUUUUUAAUAACCAAGAUAAGUUGGGCAAGACAAAAACAUAUUCAUAGUAUACUACAUGACAACAGCAAAAAUAUUUACCUAGUCAUAAGACUGCAAUUAUUAAAUAUUAACAUAAAAAUUAUACUAUAUUGGUGAGUAUUUUGUAGGCUGAAAGGAGGGGAAAUGCAGGAGAAGCGUGGGGAGUGGGAUGAGAAAUGUCAAGGAGGAGUUUAACAUACACACGACAGAACAGUCAAGAAAAGAAAGGAGGACAGUAGAGGCACUUUGGAAAUACAGGAUUAAAUACAGAAGCUGAAGGAAUUAAAAGUGUGUCUACUGAGAGGGAGUGGAGAUUGGUGCCACUGACUAUCUCAUGAUAAUACUUGUAAAUUUUUACCUGUAACUUUGGUACAGUUUAAAUGAAAAAUAAUUCUUAAACAUGAGAUUGCAAAAUAUGACAAACAUAUGUGGCAAUCAUAAUUUGACAAAUCAACCAAAAGCAAACACUACCAUGUAAAUAAAGAGGUGAUUCAUAAGAGAACUAAAAAUGUGAAUAAGAAUAUAAAGACAUUUCAUUUCAGAAUUAGUUAAAUGAAAGUUAAAAUAGAAAAAGCAACGAAAGUGCUUCUAGAUCUAUCUCCCGGAGAAUCCAAACAUGUCCACACAAAAACCCGUACCCAAACGUUAUCAGCGCUUUCCGUAAUAGCAUUCUCCGGCAACUGAAGAAUGGAUGAAUAAAAGGUGGUACAUGCACAUAACGGAAUAUUAUUCAGCAACAGAGAAGAAUGAUGUUCUGACAUGUGACAGAGUAGAAGAACCUCGAACACCCACCUCGUGCCGAGGGAAAGAAGCCAGUCAUGCAAUGCCCCGUAUUGUAUGAUUCCACUUGUAUGAAAUGUCCACAGGAGCAGAGGAGAGCUUAGUGCCAGCUAGAAUGAGUUGCCAGAGGCUGGUGGAGGGAAAAAUACGGAGUUGCUGCUAGUGGGUGUGGAGUUAUUUUACGCAGUUCUGAAAAUAUUCUAAAAUUAGAUAGUGGGGAUGACUGCACAAUUCUUUUUUUUUAAAGAUUUUAUUAGAGA